GUAUUGAAGGUGAUGCCUGCCCAGUGACAACACGUUAAACGGCCGCGGUAUCCUAACCGUGCAAAGGUAGCGCAAUCAAUUGUCUCAUAAAUCGGGACUUGUAUGAAUGGCUUAACGAGGUCUUAACUGUCUCCUGUAGAUAAUCAGUGAAAUUGAUCUCCCUGUGCAAAAGCAGGAAUAACCCCAUAAGACGAGAAGACCCUGUGGAACUUAAAAAUCAGCAGUCACUCCUACACAAUAAUCCCCUCCUACUGGACACCCCUACACCCGGGACAAUACUGACGCGCAUUUUUCGGUUGGGGCGACCUUGGAGCACAACAAACCCUCCAAAAAUAAGACCAUCCCUCUUAACCAAGAACAACCAAUCAACGUACUAACAGUGACCAGACCCAAUAUAAUUGAUUAAUGGACCAAGCUACCCCAGGGAUAACAGCGCAAUCUCCCCCAAGAGCUCCCAUCGACGGGGAGGUUUACGACCUCGAUGUUGGAUCAGGACAUCCUAGUGGUGUAGCCGCUACUAAGGGUUCGUUUGUUCAACGAUUAAUAGUCCUACGUGAUCUGAGUUCAGACCGGCCUGUGUGA
rnacentral:rRNA from 1 species